GCUGGUUCUUCCAGGAGCGCGCAUGAGCGGACGCUGCCUACUGGUGGCCGGGCGGGAUGUAACCGGCUGCUGAGCUGGCAGUUCUGUGUCGCUAGGCUUCUGCCCGGCCGCCGCCGCACAUAAGCCACGAGGAGGAGCUUUACGACUUCCCGGUCUUCGGCGCCGGGCGCAGCAAGGGCCAGACUCUGCGCUAGCAGGCGCUGCGCGCCAACCGGCCGGCACCUGUCGCAGAAGGUGCAACCGAUCGCACUGUCGCGCAGAAGCUCCUCAAUGGCCAGCGCCAGCUGCAGCCCCGGCCGCCCACUCGCCUCAUCUGAGCCUGGGCAAAUCUGGAUUGGGAAAGUUGACAUUAAUCAACUCAUUAUUCCUCACAGAUUUGUAUUCUCCAGAGUAUCCAGGUCCUUCUCAGAGAAUUAAAAAGCCUGUACAGGUCUAGAUAUUGGUAUUUUUAAUUGAUGAUAAGCUGGAAUAAUAUUAAUACACACAAAGCACGUGUUGUAACUUUCAUUAUGCUUCCUUAGAGCUCUGUUCACGGAAAGGGCCUGGGAGCUGCAACACCUCAACAGCAACAAGCACACCUGCUACCUAGAACUUGGUUUCUAAAAACCAUCCUCCUCUAAAAGGAAACAGAGCUCUUUGAAGAAACGGUAUUCUAAUAAUACUGCGUGACAUUACGGACAACUUAGCCUAAAUUAUGGAAAAUCAAAUUAUUUAGUAGAACUGCAAGACAAUCCUCUCAGUUGUUGUACAGAAGGUAAGCAUGAGCAAAUUACUUUUUAGAGGUAACUUUGCUGAACUUGUGAAGAAUGGUGUGCAAGGUCCAGAGCGACUGCAGGAGAGGGAAGGUGGGAUUCCCACAGAGCAGGAGCACAGAUAAGCCAAGCAAGGCCCUGCUUGGAAGGCAGCAAUCAACAGAGAUGCACAGACCUGUGAGGGUGCCGGGACAGCCAUGCAACAAUGCAGCCCUUUUGCUUCCUGAGCUCACCAGUUCCCUCGCUCCACCUCUGAGAGGUGGUUUGGAGAAACACAGCCCUUCUCAAGAGGGCUGCAAGCUACUUAAGUCCUGAAAAUUUCCACAAGGCUGAGUCAAAUCUGCGUUUCAUCAUCUAUAAGAAAGGUACCUAUCGAGAACACCCUGCUGGCCAGUGUGUAAAUAUCUAAAGGAGGACUCAGAAAACACCGGGGAAGUCCAGCCUGCACGUGGUGGCUGGGCUUCAGUGAAGCAUGCAGCACAACAGGAGUUGUAAGUAGUAGUUACAUCAGCAGCCCUGGAAAUUCUGCUCAGAACCAAACUGAACAAAUAACAUUAUCUAAGGCUUACAAUUAUUUAACUCCCUAAAUUUUCUGUCCUCCCAGUAGCACUUUCAAAUGCCUAAAAGCAAUUAAAAGAAACAUUUUUCCAAU
rnacentral:lncRNA from 1 species